AGGUCACUGCUAUCGGGGUUCGAUUAAGCCAUGCGAGUCGAGAGGGUUCGGCCCUCGGCGUACUGCUCAGUAACACGUGGAUAACCUGACCUAAGGAAGGGGAUAACUCCGGGAAACUGGGGAUAAUACCCUAUAGGUUACGGGUGCUGGAAUGCCCUGUAACCGAAAGUUCCGACGCCUUAGGAUGGAUCUGCGGCCGAUUAGGUUGUUGUCGGGGUAAUGGCCCAACAAGCCAGUGAUCGGUACGGGUUGUGGGAGCAAGAGCCCGGAGUUGGAUUCUGAGACACGAAUCCAGGCCCUACGGGGCGCAGCAGGCGCGAAAACUUACAAUGCGGGCAACCGUGAUAAGGGAACCUCNAGUGCCUGUAUAUGCAGGCUGUUCAGGUGUCUAAAACACACCUGAAGAAAGGGCCGGGCAAGACCGGUGCCAGCCGCCGCGGUAAUACCGGCGGCUCGAGUGGUGGCCACUUUUAUUGGGCUUAAAGCGUUCGUAGCUGGGUUGUUAAGUCUCUUGGGAAAUCCGGCAGCUUAACUGUCGGGC
rnacentral:rRNA from 1 species